rnacentral:rRNA from 1 species
UGCCAGCCGCCGCGGUAAUACGAAGGUCCCAAGCGUUGUUCGGAAUCAUUGGGCGUAAAGCGGGUGUAGGCGGUUCUACAAGUCAGAGGUGAAAGCCCGGGGCUCAACCCCGGAAGUGCCUUUGAUACUGUAGGACUUGAAUGUAGGAGAGGGUGCUAGAAUUCCUGGUGUAGUGGUGAAAUACGUAGAGAUCAGGAGGAACACCGGUGGCGAAGGCGACUUCCUGGACCAAUACUGACGCUGAGGUGCGAAGGCGUGGGGAGCAAACAGGAUUAGAUA